rnacentral:rRNA from 1 species
AUUGAACGCUGGCGGCAUGCUUUACACAUGCAAGUCGAACGGUAACAGGUUAAGCUGACGAGUGGCGAACGGGUGAGUAAUGCAUCGGAACGUGCCCGAUCGUGGGGGAUAACGCAGCGAAAGCUGCGCUAAUACCGCAUACGAUCUGAGGAUGAAAGCGGUGGACCGUAAGGCCUCGCGCGAUCGGAGCGGCCGAUGUCAGAUUAGGUAGUUGGUGGGGUAAAGGCUCACCAAGCCGACGAUCUGUAGCUGGUCCGAGAGGACGACCAGCCCGACUGGGACUGAGACACGGCCCAGACUCGUACGGGAGGCAGCAGUGGGGAAUUUUGGACAAUGGGCGCAAGCCUGAUCCAGCAAUGCCGCGUGCAGGAAGAAGGCCUUCGGGUUGUAAACUGCUUUUGUACGGAGCGAAAAGGCUCUCUCUAAUACAGGAGGCUCAUGACGGUACCGUAAGAAUAAGCACCGGCUAACUACGUGCCAGCAGCCGCCGUAA